UACGUAGGGGGCUAGCGUUGUUCGGAAUCACUGGGCGUAAAGCGCACGUAGGCGGACUGUUAAGUCAGGGGUGAAAUCCUGGGGCUCAACCCCAGAACUGCCUUUGAUACUGGCGGUCUUGAGUGUGGGAGAGGUUGGUGGUACUCCGAGUGUAGAGGUGAAAUUCGUAGAUAUUCGGAAGAACACCAGUGGCGAAGGCGGCCAACUGGCCCAUUACUGACGCUGAGGUGCGAAAGCGUGGGGAGCAAACAGG
rnacentral:rRNA from 1 species